UGAGCAGCGGUGGCUGAAGGUAGUAGGAGAUGACUACCAUGCUAGCGAUCCAGCUUCAUGUACGGCUCGCAUCUCGGUUUUUUUCUCUCUAAAGAGCCCGCUGAUAAGGUGUUACCCAGAUUGUGUGCAACCUUCGAAAAGCUCAUGUAGAAGCACCUUUAAUCAUGCUCUGAUUGUCGUACCGAUUCACUGUUUCACGGUGCUCCUCCUACACUUCGGAGAUGAAUUGCAGCUCGCGGCCUCUCCUACUGCACACCCAAGGGUGACACCCUCCACUGACUAGCAUCUAAGGAUGCCCGCGGCCACAUCGUCGCGUGAGUAAGCUUCAACGGAAUAGAUCUAGAAAGGGAUCUGCCGAUGGAACUCCGAAGGACGAAGACUCAAGAACAGAUAUUUAGUCAAAGAAGAACCGCCAAAGCCUGAGGCAUGUUACAUUGGUACCCAAUAAAAAUUUGAUUACAUUGUAGCAGAUAUGAGUGACUAAUCCAGUCAUCCAGAUGACGUGACAUUGUAGCAGAUAUGAGUGACUAAUCCAGUCAUCCAGAUGACGUCAAUGCAAAUAGGGUAAGGCAUUGUUCUUGCAGGCCAUUUAUUC